rnacentral:tRNA from 1 species
GCGGAAGUAGUUCAGUGGUAGAACACCACCUUGCCAAGGUGGGGGUCGCGGGUUCGAAUCCCCGUCUUCCGCUCCA